UACGUAGGGUGCAAGCGUUGUCCGGAAUUAUUGGGCGUAAAGAGCUCUUAGGCGGUCUGUCGCGUCUGCUGUGAAAACUCAGGGCUUAACCCUGAGCUUGCAGUGGGUACGGGCAGACUAGAGUGCGGUAGGGGGAGACUGGAAUUCCUGGUGUAGCGGUGAAAUGCGCAGAUAUCAGGAGGAACACCGGUGGCGAAGGCGGGUCUCUGGGCCGUAACUGACGCUGAGGAGCGAAAGCAUGGGGAGCGAACAGG
rnacentral:rRNA from 1 species